UUGUUUUUUUUACUCGUGCAGGAGAUAUGCACAGCCGAUACAUUCCUCAGCAAGAUUACUUCUCAGAGGGACUCUACACGUUCGAUAUUGGGCAGAAUGACCUUGCUGAGCUUCCUAUGCCUCUUUCCCCAAAGCUGACUAAUUGGUGUACAGGGAUCCUACUCUGAUGUAAAUAAACUGUAUGACCAAGGUGCUAGCAAGUUCUGGAUUCACAAC